AUGCCUACGGGGGGCAGCAGUAGGGAAUCUUCCACAAGGGGCGAAAGCCUGAUGGAGCAACGCCGCGUGGGUGAAGAAGGUCUUCGGAUCGUAAAACCCUGUUGUUAGAGAAGAAAGUGCGUGAGAGUAACUGUUCACGUUUCGACGGUAUCUAAACAGAAAGCCACGGCUAACUACGUGCCAGCAGCCGCGGUAAUACGUAGGUGGCAAGCGUUAUCCGUAUUUAUUGUGCGUAAAGGGUACGCAGGCGGUCUUUUAAGUCUGAUGUGAAAGCCUUCGGCUUAACAGGAGUAGUGAAUUGGAAA
rnacentral:rRNA from 1 species